GCGGAAUUCGUGGUGUAGCGGUGAAAUGCUUAGAUAUCACGAAGAACUCCGAUUGCGAAGGCAGCUUGCUGGACUGUAACUGACGCUGAUGCUCGAAAGUGUGGGUAUCAAACAGGAUUAGAUACCCUGGUAGUCCACACAGUAAACGAUGAAUACUCGCUGUUGGCGAUAUACAGUCAGCGGCCAAGCGAAAGCAUUAAGUAUUCCACCUGGGGAGUACGCCGGCAACGGUGAAACUCAAAGGAAUUGACGGGGGCCCGCACAAGCGGAGGAACAUGUGGUUUAAUUCGAUGAUACGCGAGGAACCUUACCCGGGCUUAAAUUGCAAAGGAAUAAUCUGGAAACAGGUUAGUCUUCGGACCUUUGUGAAGGUGCUGCAUGGUUGUCGUCAGCUCGUGCCGUGAGGUGUCGGCUUAAGUGCCAUAACGAGCGCAACCCUCGCCGCCAGUUACUAACAGUUAAAGCUGAGGACUCUGGCGGGACUGCCAUCGUAAGAUGUGAGGAAGGUGGGGAUGACGUCAAAUCAGCACGGCCCUUACGUCCGGGGCUACACACGUGUUACAAUGGGCGGUACAGAAGGCAGCUACCUGGCGACAGGAUGCCAAUCCCUAAAGCCGCUCUCAGUUCGGACUGGAGUCUGCAACCCGACUCCACGAAGCUGGAUUCGCUAGUAAUCGCGCAUCAGCCACGGCGCGGUGAAUACGUUCCCGGGCCUUGUACACACCGCCCGUCAAGCCAUGAAAGCCGGGGGUACCUGAAGUGCGUAACCGCAAGGAGCGCCCUAGGGUAAAACCGGUAAUUGGGGCUAAGUCGUAACAAGGUAGCCGUACCGGAAGGUGCGGCUG
rnacentral:rRNA from 1 species